rnacentral:rRNA from 1 species
AAUAGAUACCCAGGUAGUCCACGCCCUAAACGAUGUCAACUAGCUGUUGGGGUCUUCGGGACCUUGGUAGCGCAGCUAACGCGUGAAGUUGACCGCCUGGGAAGUACGGUCGCAAGAUUAAAACUCAAAGGAAUUGACGGGGACCCGCACAAGCGGUGGAUGAUGUGGAUUAAUUCGAUGCAACGCGAAAAACCUUACCUACCCUUGACAUGUCUGGAAUCCCGAAGAGAUUUGGGAGUGCUCGCAAGAGAACCGGAACACAGGUGCUGCAUGGCUGUCGUCAGCUCGUGUCGUGAGAUGUUGGGUUAAGUCCCGCAACGAGCGCAACCCUUGUCAUUAGUUGCUACGAAAGGGCACUCUAAUGAGACUGCCGGUGACAAACCGGAGGAAGGUGGGGAUGACGUCAAGUCCUCAUGGCCCUUAUGGGUAGGGCUUCACACGUCAUACAAUGGUCGGGACAGAGGGUCGCCAACCCGCGAGGGGGAGCCAAUCCCAGAAACCCGAUCGUAGUCCGGAUCGCAGUCUGCAA